GUAUAAAAAAUUAUUUGCGUUGAGCCCUGUAACAGAACAGCUUGUUUUAGUCAGCUAAAAAUUUUACAUUUAUGUGCAACAUCUGGUGAAAAUUUAAUGUCAAUAACACCUUUAGAAAUAUAUGGUAACUGAGGAAAAAUGGUGACGAGUUAAAUUUUACCCGCUGCAUAUUUAAUGUAAAUUAACUGCUUGCCCUGCAUUAAAGACUUGUAAAUGCACAACGCUGAGGCAAAGAACCCCAAACCCCAUUUAAAAUCCUUUAAUGCACAGCAAGUCAUUGAUUAUCCCACUUAUUCCAUGGUCAUUUGCCAAGUUAUAGACAAGUUAAAACUAGUUUUGCUCUUUGUAGCUUAAAAUUUGAUAGAAUGGGUAAAAAUAACAGUUAUUUCCAGGAGCUCCUCUUUUUUGUAAACAACUGAUCUGUCUUUUAUAAAUCUGAUAUAAAAGACUCUUCUGAGAUUUGAAGGAUGCACACUACUAUUCGAUAGGUAGGCUACUCAAGUUUAACCAAACUGUUCGUGGACCCCGUUUACUUCCAUAGUAUUACUUUUCCAAUUCCUGCUAUAGAAGUGAAUGGGAUCCAAAGACAUUUAUGCAGGUUUGUAACAACAUGAGGGUGAGUAAAUGAUGACAGAGUUUUCAUUUUUGGGUGAACUAUUUAACCUUUUACAGCUUAGCAGAAAAAUGUUAUGUGACCUUUAAGAAUAGGAUAAAGUACAUCUUUAACAAAAGCAAAGAUUAAAAAACAAAUUGUAGAAUAAAUAGAAAGUGCUACACAAGUGUAAAACAAUACAAAAUCGUCCCACUAUCACAUGCAGAUGUGUCACUUUGCAAUGGGGCAAUGAUGAAUAGUACACAGAACAACCAAAUAAGUUUUUACGAUUUAUAAACAAUUUAAAGAUAUUUUAAAGUGUUAUGUACUGUUCUAAUUCCAGAGAUGUUUAUUUAUGUAAAUGGUGUGAGGCUUUACCAUGUAUAUAAUAGGCCAAUGGCUAUGCUGUGCACACGAAACAUGUCCUGCCCCUUUAAAUCACGAAGGGAGUUACCAUGGAAACUGAAGGAGCACGAGGACAGCUAGCUCCGUCUCCCGCGGUUUCUUCGCUGUUUUCAAGAGUGACAAAAACCCUCUAUAAUAGAAGAGAAGCUCAAGAUUUCAACAUUUUCUGAAGGGAGUUGCAGACAGGUGUAGAAAACUGCUUUUCAAAUUUUCCACAUUUAUCACAGUUAUUUUAAGAUGUUGACAUCUAAACAUUUGUCCAUGCUAAUGGCCGAGCAGUAGGGUUGGAACAGACCUGUCAGAAAACAUCUCUGAACCAUAUGACUAAUUUCAAAACAAUUUAUUCUUGAGAGGAGGCACCACAGUUAAAGACAGUGUUUUGAAGAAUUUUGAACUUCCUGCUCACAAACUACAUACUUCUCCAGUUAGUCUGACAGGCUAUCAAUGAGAAUGCGGCAUUACAGGACACCACUGAAAACUAUACCACUAAAAACUGAUUAUUGCUGCAGUCAGAAGAAACAGAUUAACAGCAACUAUCUGCUUGAGACCAAGAGAUUGAGCAUUGGGUUAAGACAUGGUUGCAGCUUGCCACAGACAGAGAUGAAGGUCGUUGGGCAAAAGAGAAGAUUUAAAGGCAUAGCUCACCCAAAAAUGGAAACUCAUUUACUUACCAUCAAGAUGUUUCAAACUCUAUCAAAUGUAUUUGUUCAGUUACUGACUGUUAUAAAUUAUACAGGUUUGGAACAACCUUUGGGUGAGCAAAAUUACAGUUUUAAUUUUAAUUAGUGAACUAUCCCUAUUGUGAGUUUUAUAAGUUUAUUAAGAAAUGUUGAGUAUUAUAUCAAAGUUUUGUAUGUAAGGAGAUGGUAGUUGUACGUUUGUGUGUUAAUAUAGAUGGUUUCAGUGGCAACAACAUAAAUCACUUUCAUGGCCCAAACUUAACUUCGGGUAGACCUCCACAUAGAUUCAAUAACAACCGAGUAUCUCUGGAGCAGUUUUUUUUCUGAUAACAAACAAAAUAAAUAACCAGUAAAUAGCCUCAGAUCAAAUCAUAGCUAAAGCAUUUCAACCAUUACAUUGAUCUAAUGUUACUGGGUCAAAUUAAGCUUUACAAUUUUAGCUACAGAUCUUUGAAAAUGUUUGUACGGUAUACUGUCCAUUUCCAGAAAGGUAAUAAAAACAGCGUGCACAGUGACGCUGCUGACGUGUUAUCCUCAGACAUGUUUGUGAAGAUUGUUUUGUUUAUAGCGUGCGUCUCCCUCAGACUGUAAAAAAAGCUUGGGAACAAGAAAAAGCUUGGGCAAACAAGAUAACAUGUCAGCAGCGUCACUCCAGUGUUGUGCACGAGGUUCACAACAGACCUGGAAGAGAAGACGAUGCUGAAUAAAGUCAUAAUUUCUGUUAUUUUUGGACCAAAAUUUAUUUUCGAUGCUUCAACACAUUCUAACUGACCCACUGAUAUCACAUGGACUACUUUGAUGAUGUACAGUAUAUAUUUGAUCGUGUAUACACAUAUCUAAAACAUCUUAAACUGUUUCCGAAGAUGAACGGAGGUGUUACAGGUUUGGAAUGACAUGAGGGUCAUUAAUUACAUAAUUUUCAUUUUGGAUGAAAUAACCCUUUAAGUUUGGCCAGGUGUGUAACUGUGGCAACGCACAUGCAUCUAUGGGUUCCAGUAUAUCUUACUAUAUAACAUAUUAAUUUAACUAACAUGUUUGACAAAUAUAAUUAUGUUUAUUUAUAAAUUAUUAUCUGUAUUGGAUUUUUUAAAUGUUUAAUAAAGAAAUUUUGACUAUA